rnacentral:rRNA from 1 species
UACGUAGGGUGCAAGCGUUGUCCGGAAUUAUUGGGCGUAAAGAGCUCGUAGGCGGUUUGUCGCGUCUGCUGUGAAAACCCGAGGCUCAACCUCGGGCCUGCAGUGGGUACGGGCAGACUAGAGUGCGGUAGGGGAGAUUGGAAUUCCUGGUGUAGCGGUGGAAUGCGCAGAUAUCAGGAAGAACACCAACGGCGAAGGCAGCUCGCUGGGACGGAACUGACGCUGAGGCGCGAAAGCGUGGGGAGCGAACAGG